rnacentral:lncRNA from 1 species
AAAAAAAAAAAGGGAAAAGAGAAAAAGAGCAGGGAGAGGCUUUGUGGUGGCUUCGUACGUGGCUUCGUUAGAAGAUUCCAGAGCAAACUUGGUCGGAUUAAAAAAGAAAAGACUUCGUGGUGGCUUCGGAGAAGAGAAACAGAGUGGGGAGAGAUCGAGAGGUCGGCUUCGUGGUGGCUUAGGAGAAGAGAAAUAGAGCGAGGAGAG